AGUGCUGGCAUUGUGUGCAGGCAGAUGUCCCCAGUUUCUGCGGCCUUAAAAGUAAGAAAGCAUAGCGAUAGCAUGAGUAGAUCUUUCCUUCUUACAGAGAUCAAAGCAAGGAGGAGGCUGGAUUCUUGUGGCAGUGAUGGUUUUUUGAGUGAUGGUCUCACUGAAACCUCUUACAGAAAAAAAAGAAAAACAAAUACAAGCUUCUGUUGGGAAAAUACCAUCUGCUUGGGAUGGCAGUGAUCUCAAGUGGUGUGCACACUUCUCAAGGAGCAAGUGAGGUUUGCAAAGAGGAGGAGGAGUUCCGCCCGUCCAUCCAGGAAGAGAACCACUCAGAUCCAUGACUAGUAUGGGACAAGCUUUUUUUCUACAGCCACAGGGCUAGAAGCAUCGGAGUUACUUGAGUUCUGAAAGAAAAGCUGAAUUUGUCACAUACAGUAUCUGGGGCUCGAGGGAAAAACAUUCCUCAAAAUCUGACUAAAGACCUGGUGCAUUUCUUUGCUGGUGACAGCGCUGUUGACCUCAUGGAUCUGAGUGCUCGUUCUUCCUGGCAUCC
rnacentral:lncRNA from 1 species